rnacentral:rRNA from 1 species
UACAGAGGGGGCAAGCGUUGUUCGGAAUUACUGGGCGUAAAGGGCUCGUAGGCGGCCAACUAAGUCAGACGUGAAAUCCCUCAGCUUAACUGGGGAACUGCGUCUGAUACUGGAUGGCUUGGAUUCGGGAGAGGAAUGCGGAAUUCCAGGUGUAGCGGUGGAAUGCGUAGAGAUCCGGAAGAACACCGGUGGCGAAGGCGGUCUGCUGGGCAGUAGCUGACACUGAGGCGCGACAGCGUGGGGAGCAAACAGG